CUAAUUUUUGUAUUUUUGUAAAGAUGGGGUUUCACCAUGUUGGCCUACCUAUAUUAAUUCUCAUUAUUGCAUGUAUAACAGUCUGAUAAUUUUUUGCUUCUCCAAUGUUUGUGAUUUGUCUCCCACCAUGACAGUUAAACUCCACAACAGCAGAGACCUUAUCAUUCCCGUUCAAUGCUGCGCCUCCAGUGCUUAGCACGGUGCCUGGCACAUCGGUCAUAGUCAAUAACUAUCUGUUGAUUGCGUGAAGAAAAGUGUCCUGGACAGGCCUAUUGCAAUUUUUCAAAAGGGUUUUUAGAGUUGGCAAAGUCAUAAUUAGAACCAUGUAUUGGGCAGAUUACAAAAGGAGAGAACUGGGGCCAGGCGCAGUGGCUCACGCCUGUAAUCCCAGCACUUUGGGAGGCCUAGGCGGGUGGAUCACUUGAGGCCAGGAGUUCAAGACCAGCCUGGCCAACAUGGUGAAACCCUGUCUCUACUAAAAAUACAAAAAUUAGCGAGGCAUGGUGGUGGGUGCCUGUAGUCCCAGCUACUCAGGAGGCUGAGNNNNNNNNNNUACUCAGGAGGCUGAGGCAGGAGAAUAGCUUGAACCCAGGAGGUGGAGGCUGCAGUGAGCCCAGAUGGCACCACUGCACUCUCCAGCCUGGGCAACAGAGCGAAACUCCGUCUAAAAACAAAAAACAAAAAUCAAAGACAAAAACAAAAGGAAAGAACUGGGCAUAGAGGGACCUUUUAGGAGGCUGGGAUGAUAUGUCAAGGGAGGUAAGAAGACAUACUGCCGCCAGGUGCAGUGGCUCACGCCUGUAAUCCCAGAACUUUGAGAGGCCGAGGCGAGCGGGUCACAAAGUCAGGAGUUCAAGACCAGCCUGAGUGAAACCCUGUCUCUACUAAAAAUACAAAAAUUAGCCAGGCGUGGUGGCACGUGCCUGUAAUCCCAGCUACUCAGGAGGCUGAGGUAAGAGAAUAGCUUGAACCCAGGAGGCAGAGGUUGCCAUGAGCCCAGAUCGCGCCACUGCACUCUAGCCUGGGUGACAGAGUGAGACACCGUCUAAAAGAAAAAAAAAAGACAUACUGCCAAGAUUGGUAAAAAUGACAAAAAUCAAUAAUAUCCAGCCCUGCAAAAGGCAGGGAAACCAGCAUUCUCGUGAACUGUUUUUUUUUUUUUUUUUUUUUUGGAGAUGGAGUCUCGCUCUGAUGCCCAGGCUGGAGUGCAGUGGCGCGAUCUGGGCUCAUGGCAACCUCCGCCUCCUGGGUUCAAGCGAUUCUCCUGCCUCAGCCUCCCGAGUAGCUGGGAUNNNNNNNNNNUUCAAGCGAUUCUCCUGCCUCAGCCUCCCGAGUAGCUGGGACUACAGGCGCACACCGCCAUGCCUGGCUAAUUUUUUGUAUUUUAGUAGAGACGGGGUUUCACCGUUGUUGCCCAGGCUGGUCUCAAACUCCUGAGCUCAGGCAAUCCACCCGCCUCAGCCUCCCAAAGUGCUAGGAUUACAGGCGUGAGCCACCGUGCCCAGCAGGAACUGUUAAUGAUAAUAUAAACUGUAUAAAGUUUUCAGAGGAAAAUGUAGUAGUAUUUAUUUAAAAUAUUUAAUGUUUAUAUUUUCUGACCCAGCAUUUCCAUUUCUGGGAGUUUAUUCUACAGAAAAACUCCCACAAAUGCAGAAAGGAUAUGUAUACAGAAACACUGUUGCAGCAUAGUUUAUAAUGGUGGAAACUUGUAAACAACCCAAAUAUCCACAAACAUGGGGCUGGUUACAUAAACCACCAUAUAGCCACACUAUAGACUGCAUAUCACUAUUUGAAAGAAUGAUGUGGGCCUCUUAACACACAUGGCUGGGAGCAGUGGCUCACGCCUGUAACCCCAGCACUUUAGGAGGUCAAGGUGAGAGGAUCAUUUGAGCUGGGGAGGUUGAGGCUGCAGAGAGCUGUGACCAUGCCACUGCACUCCAGGCUCGGUGACAGUGGAAGUAUUCGUCGACUACCAGAGCAUUC
rnacentral:lncRNA from 1 species